UUAUUUCUUUUAUUCUGUUUCUCCUUUCAUGUUGAGGGCUUGCACUGAUGGGUUUGAGGAUAUAGGUCAUGUCGGGAUGUUCGUGUUCCUGUCCAUUAUCUAAGAGCCGUCUCGGUCAGAACGUAGGCUCUGCGACCUCUUCCAGGCACUGUCUGUCCCUUGAGAGGAUGAAGGAUUUGUCAAUAAACUUUGAAAGAUAAUCGGGAAGUGAGGAGAUGAUUCCGGGGGGUUACUGCCCCCAGUGACUGUUACCAUGAGAAGAAUUACUUGUUGAUACUUGGUUUUUUCCAUUCUUGAUUCUGUUCCCACGAAUGGGGUGUAAAACCCCUAACUCUGAGAUCAAUAAACGGAGCUUGUUUAUACUUGCUA